CCGCGGUCGCGUGUACACAUUGGCGUGCUCGUAAGAGAUCCUUGAUAGUGGGAAUUUAAAGUAAGACCAGGCCGUAGCGCCGCUGCUGGGACAAAUUUCCCUCUUGAGACACCGUAUGACGUACGCCCGUCUUCAUUAGCCAGUCGGAAAAAAAAGUAGGACGUUAAACCCCAUUUCAUUUUAUUUCAUUUUAUAACUACUUAUUGUAUAGACAAAGUGUUAUUGUAUAAUGUACAUGUAUAUUAAUAUUAUUUGAAGAUGCAUUAUGUAACAAUUCGCUAAAGAGCUGACAGUUCUCGCUUUAAUACAGUAGUUCAAGACCAAACGAAAUACCGGCAAUGGGUAUUUUUAGCUCUUGCAUAAUGCAUCUUUGAUAUAUAUUUUAUUAUAUUGUAGAACUACCAGUUGUAGAUAAAGUUUUAAUUGGAAUCUGUGGGACGUUAACGUUCAGUACGAUUAUGAUCUUUAUGGAUGAGUUACGAUAUGUUAGAAAAUCUCAUGAACAAGAAGACAUUUUAUAUAAAACUACUUGGCUUUUAAGUCUGUAUCCCGCAAUCUCCGCUACAUCUUUUAUAGCCAUUGUUGUCCCGCGAUCAUCCCUAAUAGAUCAGAUUCUGGCAUCAGGAUAUUUGGCAGUAGUAAUCCACAAGUUUUUACGUUUGAUGGUGUUAUAUUAUGGUGGAAAGGAGGCGUUUCUACAUGCCGUUUCCAAAACCAAAAUUUCAC